rnacentral:tRNA from 1 species
AUUUAUAUAGUAUAAAAGUAUGUGUGACUUCCAAUUACAAGGUCUAUUUAAUAAUAGUAUGAAUA